GCAGUGGUGGUUCAGCGGUAGAAUUCUCGCUUCCCAUUUGGGAGACCCAGGUUCGAUUUCUGGCCAAUGCA
rnacentral:tRNA from 1 species